rnacentral:lncRNA from 1 species
GGAUCGUAACCCUUGGCUUGCGAAGAUGGUCGAUUCCAUAUUUCUUCGAUUUUGACUUUGAUAAAAUGCGGUUACCUGCAUUAUGCAAUAUUCAUUGUAUUUUUAUAAAUGAUAUUGCCAGCUGCCUCCAGUAGUGUUCACAUGUAAAUGUAUGCAGUCUGAGGUGAAAAGCCCAAACAUAUUUCAAACCAACACAACCAUGACAACAGUCAUAAGUCAAAAGUAUAUCACCACUUUAAUACAAAAAUACCGACCUCCAAGGUCAAUUCAAAUAGGGGAAGUCCCUUUAAUCUGACAAAAUCAAACGGUAUCAACAUAUCA